CUUUCUUUGCUGGCGACCGGCGCACGGGUGAGUAACACGUAUCCAACCUGCCCUUUACUCGGGGAUAGCCUUUCGAAAGAAAGAUUAAUACCCGAUAGCAUAAUGAUUCCGCAUGGUUUCAUUAUUAAAGGAUUCCGGUAAAGGAUGGGGAUGCGUUCCAUUAGGUUGUUGGUGGCGUAACGGCCCACCAAGCCUUCGAUGGAUAGGGGUUCUGAGAGGAAGGUCCCCCACAUUGGAACUGAGACACGGUCCAA
rnacentral:rRNA from 1 species